rnacentral:lncRNA from 1 species
CGUCCUUACUUUCAGCCCAGUGAUGGUCAGUGCCCUUGCCUCCCCGGCCAUGAAGACAUUGGUGAACCAGUGGGCUGUGUCCAGAGGGAACAUGAGAUCUGCAGGAAUGGAGCCACUUGGAACCAGGAGGGGAUAUGUCUGACCAAAGAGCAAUGGGACGACCACUGUGCCCAGGAGGUUUGUCCCACACCGGGAGAGGCUCAUGGCUAUGACCCACACCUGGGGCUCUGCUUGUGCUGGGGACAACAACCGAGUGGAAUGUGUGGAACCCUCUGCUCAGGAGAGCAGAGACACAUCCUGCAGCUCAGCUGUGCUCAGGGCAUCCCACGAAUCGCCAUCCCUGAAGGCACUGGAAGUCAGGAAUUUUACCUCUUGGACAAGCCUUCCUCACCACGUGCCGUGGGUCAUCCCUGCAACUUGGACCAAGGGACAAAGUCUGUGCCUCUGUAUGUGAUCAAGGUGAAUGCAUGGCUUCCAGGGUCUGAUCAGACCAGGCCCUGAGCUUCUGCACCUACUGGGCCUGCCUCUCGUGGAUCUGAAGCAUUCAGACCAGGGGCCAGGUGAGUCUCUCAGCCUCACUGUAGGCUCUCCUCCCCCUCCUUGCCCUAUCCCAGGCUAUAGUUCAGGGUCAUCUGAAAGUGUCUGCUGAGUCUCAUGCUCAGAAUCCUCCCUAGGGAACUUAACAGAUGAACAUCAGAUCUACCCUUGGUCACCGGGUCUCAAUUCCACAUACUCGGGAGACGUGUUGGGUAUCCAGAACCCUAUAGUGUGCCUCCAAACCAAUGAUACACUGGCUUUCCUGGUGUCUCGUGAGCAUUACCCAGUAUAUGACCUGUGAGUACCCAGAGUAUCACGGCCCUAUACCACAAAGGACACACAUCUGGCACUACCUGCGAAAGGUAACAUGCCCCACUCUCUCCAUGCCCAGGGG